UGAGGCGCCCCUCAGCCCUGUGCUCUAAGGGUGCCUGAGGAGAGAGAUGCUAAGGGAAGAGGAACUGGCGGCCAAAACUAACAAACAGGGCCCCUCAAGCGGAACAAUGGUCCAGAAAACUCAGCAAAAAGGAAAAUAAACUUCAUUGGCAGUUUGUUUUUUGACUGUUAAGGGCUUAGCUACAACUCUAUCAAGACUUUGAAGAAGGGUAAACAGAAGAGCCACACCUCUGAGAGAGAGAAGCACUACUUCCGCUCCCACCUCCACCGCCUGGGGCCGGAGUUCAGCCUGGGUGAGAAGAGCUAGCUCUCAGGCCAAAGGCCUGAUGCAUUCAAAGGGCUUAACCCAGCUGAGAAAUGUGUCACUGGGCCCAGACGACACUCAAGGAGACAGAUCCAAAAGGACCUUUCCAAGGAGUUUUGUCAACAAGUUUCCUGUCUUAAAGAGGGGAAUAUCCAGGAACUUGUAAACAUGGCUCCCGAGUGUAACGGACUGUGGCUCAGGCACAGGAUGGACAGCAUUUUCUUGACAACAUUCUACAUACUUAAUCAUAGGAACCCCGGAGAGGAUGUCACAGAAAGGCUCCGGGCAAACUAAACUGAGGAACCAAAGCUCCCUCAUCGUCACGUCAGUGCUGAUGCAAAUGUGGAAGUCCGUGAACAGCAAUAGUCAUUGACUGCAAGAUGAAGAAGGUUUCAGAGAAGGGUGGGGGAGGGGAGUGAAGGAAAGAAAAGCAAAGCAGAUUGAGAACACAGAAAUUCACCUCAGUGGGGUUCGAAUGCUCUCCUGGAACUGUGAGGAAGCACUUAAGCUCAUGCUGAUCCAAAUGUGGGCCUGAUUCUGUGCACUCCUUGAUGACACACAGAUUCAUUGGUGAUAUAAAACAUUUAUGAACUUCAAUUACCCAGUUCAACGUGAACACCCAAGAAUGACACAGAGUUCAAAUCGGAAUAGACUGUCUCCCAAAUUCUCCAUGUUAAAAAUGAGGACAGUGCAGCCCAGCAAAAGAAGAGAAGUCACCGCAGACAGGACAGGCUAGCCUGAGAGGAAGACAGUGAGAAAUCUUGGAAGGAGAAAUUGAGCAACUGUAGAGCCAUUCCCCAGGAACGGCCUGGAAGAGGACAACCUAGAGAUCCUCACUGUGUCUGCAAACAGGCUCGCUAUCUCCAGACUCUGUUCUGUGGAACCAUGUGGCUUUCAUGCCACAGCAUCAGGGUUCAGCAGUGGUGACUGAUAGACCAUACAACACUGGGAAGCAGCAGCAUCUCUCACAGUAGCAAAGCUGUGCACCAACUUUUGUUUUUAUUCUUUUAGUUUUGCAUUUUGUUUUGGGGCACUCACCAUGCAGUUCAGGCUGACUUCAAGGCUGUAAUCCUUCUGCCUCAACAUAUGAAAACUGAGAUUACAGGUGUGCAUCAUCGUGUC